rnacentral:lncRNA from 1 species
GGCAUCUCAGAUUUUAAUUUUUACCCCGUACUCCUUUUGAAUUUUUGUUUUAGUUAAGUUACCCCUAGAUUUCCGACUUGCUAUCCAAGUAAUACUAUCAAGAAUUAGAAAUUGGAACUCAAACCCCAACCUAGAAGCUUCUAGGGGCUUCUUAUUUCAGUACCAAAAGAUUCCCUAACUUAAUCUACCCAAAAUGCCCCUUUUAACUACCCUGAAUUACCCUUUAAUUUGAUUAAAC